CGCCGCCGCGGCUGCACCGCCCGGUUCUUCCCGUGGUCGCGGCGGCGGCGGCGGGUGGGGGAGAGCGCUGAAGUCGCUUGUACUCGCCGGGCUUGCACGUCCCGUCCCCCCCGCCCCGCCCCUCCACCCCGAUAUCUUCCCCCACCACCCCUCGGCGAGGAGUAAGUGCCACCGCUCCGCCUUCUCCUUUUCGCAAUGUUGACGCAAUCUAUAAAUAGUGGAACAAAAGGACCAACUUCCUCGCAGCUUUGCUGAAACUGCACAAAAAAGGCAACUGGGGGGGGACACACAUGAGGUUAUUUUUUGAUUUUAUUUUUCUCUGGUUAAAAGGCGAAUCCUCCUCCUCCCUUCCUCCCUCUCUCUCCUUCCCCUCCUCUCCCCCCCUCUCUACUGGAAGAUCUUUUUAAUUUUCUCUUGCUGCCUCCUAUGCUGGCAACGUCCUGCGAGUGGCUAUUUUGCUUUUGCACCGAAAGAAGAGCUUCCUCCCUCGCCCUCUCUUCUGACAUUUAUGGAUGAAAUCCACACUGAUGUCUAACCUGUAAUGAGUGCCAAUGUUUUGACCUUUCAAUAGAGAGCUGAUUUUGGAGAAUGGCUUACUCCUGUGAUUGAAAAACUCUCUGGAAGGUUGAUGGAGCAUGAGCAUGGUAUAUAUUAUAUUAACAUUUCUCUUAUUACAUAUGUUCUUUAUUUUAAAAAAUGUACACAGUAGUAUAACUUAUUCAGAGUAUUCAAAAUAGGCCCAUUCUAAUGGGAUUGUUCAAGAAUUUAUUAUUUGUUAAAAUAAUUCUUCUUUACGCUCCUGUAAAAUUAUGAAACACUAAGUAAAAGUAUUAACAGAGGCUGUGCUCAGAAGGAAAUGAAGUGGCCAAAAAUAUGUAUAAAAAACUGAAUUUGCAACAGCCUUGAUCCAUUUGAGCGAUAUAAAUUCUCUAUAUAGUAUUGUUCCCAUAUUCCUGUCUUGGGAAUUACUCCAACUGAAAUGUUGCUAAUCCAAAAACAAAGUAUGGAUGAUAUAAAAAAUUAUUUUUCAAUAACUUUAUUUUUUUUGUUGGGAGGGUGUGUUAAGAAUAGAAUAGAAUAUAGAACUAACUGAGUGUAUUUCCAUGUAGUGUGUAAAAUUUGGUUUUAAAGGCAUUAAUAAGCUAGCUACCUGACAAGCAAAGAAGCAGAAAACAGAAAAAAAGAACAGGUUUUCAGAGCCUUGCAUCUGUACCAGAAUAUUCAGAAAUUUUAUUUAUUUUAUUUGUUGGCAAACAGAUAUUAUAUAGCAAAACACUGAACAAUUUAGAGGAAUUAAUAUGGACUGUGCUACACUCAUAUUGCAAGUCCUGCUUUGCACUAAAAGUACUCAUUUGGCUGAAACUGAGAAAUCCAUUCAGAGUAAUCAUAACCUAUCUACUCAUAUACGAACAGUCUUAACUAACCAUUUACACAGACAAUUGAAAUUAAAAUAGUAACUGGUCUUGGAUUGAGUAAAUUUGUUUAAGUACAAAAUGGAAUAGUAAAAUCUGUAAGACUUUAUCUUCAGCAGAACAUAUUGCAGUACAACAAAUUUUAUGAACAUGUUGUGACUUUAGCAAUUCCAACUUUCAGCUGGAAUUCAGUUUUUAUCCUUAAUGAAGUCUGUCUGUCUUCAAGAACACUUCUUCUUUGUAGGAAGUAAUUGUACCUUAAAAUCAGAGGAGUUUUAAAAACCCAAAAUUUCAGUUUAUCCCAGUAACUCCUAAUUUCUACCAAGCAAAUCCAGUGAGGUGUAAAUUUCAUAUUUCCUCAUUGUUGUAAGUAGUGGCUGGUAGAACUGAAGAAUUACUGCAAUUUACCAGCAGUACACCUCCUGUUACAGAAAUAUUUGAGGCAGAUGGGUUCUGAAUAUAUUUUUUAUACAAUAAUAUGAUUUUAGGGUAGUUAAGGCCUCCUAGAGAAAAUUCUUAGUUGAGUAAGAAAAUUUUGAAUACAGAAAGUAUAGGAAGUAAACCUUAACUUUAUAUAAGCUUUGAAGUUUGUGAUUAGUGAGUAGGUAAUUCUUUCAGUUUUAAUAAUUUCUUUAUGUGAUUAAACACACAGUGAAAGUACUUCUAUUAAUGCUGUAACUGUGUUUGGGUAACAUGCCUAAUAUGCUCCCAAAUAAAUAAAUAUUUUGGUCUGUCCAGAAACUGCUUUGGAGGUACUACAUUGCUGUUUUUUCUUUCUUAUUUUCUUUUUUUUCCUUUUUUUUUCAUUUUUUU